AUCGACGUUGUUGCCUUGGAGCUACCAGCGCGUGAUUUGACCUCUGACGUUUCAUGCCUGAGUGCUAUUUAUUGGACUCACUCCACUUGAUCCCAAGUGAUGCGAUCAUACAGGACAAACAAUUUCCUUUGAAGGGGAGAGCAUUUCAAAGGAAGCACGGACUGGAGGUGUAAGGGAGUAAAGAUAGAACAUAUGUGGUUGAAGGAAACAUGCUUGGAGAACAAUAUGUUGCACUCUCUGUCCGUGGCUCAAUCUAGGAGAUGAGAACUGGUUAGACCAUAUGAAAAACUCCAAACAGCAGGAGAUGCUGGUUAUGUUAUUGCUUGGCCUUCCUCACAUGUAAGUAUGUUUCCAUACAACCAUCAAGUAUGCUCCAAUAUCCACAUUUAAGAUAUUUUAGUUAUCAAAAUCUUUGUGGCUGUUUUUA